GAAUGUUUAAGGAGCGUUUAGUUGAUGGGCAGGACCAUUUUUAUUAUUCUUCCGCAAGGAGAGCAAAGGUUGAGUGACUAAUUAUUAUAGUGGAAAUGAAACAGGAAUAAUAAGAGAAAGUAAAGUGCCUUUUUCCAUAAGCUAGAAAGAGAAACAUUUGGCACUAAAGACAUAAUUCGGAUGCAUGAUAAUAGAAAACUAUGAUAUGUGGCAUGGAUUCGGUUUAACAAAUCAACCACGGGCCUAAAAGGAGGAUGACAACACGGUGUUUGCAGAGUUGAAGGAUACGGGUUAACAGAGAUCAUAAAAAAAAAUUCGCUGUGUAAAUCAGACAUUCUUCCAAAAUGCCGAACUAUCAUUGGCAAAGUAAAGGGGACAUGAAAAGCAGUGGUGUAGAGGACAUGGUCCUUCUCCCAAAAAUUCAGGAAGCUGCUAUUGUAGACAAUUUGAAGAAAAGGAUUAUGGAUGACCUGAUAUUUACAUAUAUUGGACCAGUACUAGUGUCAGUCAAUCCUUUCAAGCAAAUGCCUUAUUUCACUGACAGAGAUGUUGAGCAAUAUCAAGGAGCUGUGAGUAUUCCUUUAGUGACUGUAACCAGUAAAUUAUGCAUAAAGAUUCAGCCAAAGAAAUUUUGCUGUACUGUUAAAAAUAU